CUCGCAGUCUGCACACGUGC
rnacentral:misc_RNA from 1 species